rnacentral:rRNA from 1 species
UGAACGCUGGCGGCAUGCUUUCCACAUGCAAGUCGGACGGCAGCACAGAGAAGCUUGCUUCUUGGGUGGCGAGUGGCGAACGGGUGAGUAAUAUAUCGGAACGUACCGAGUAAUGGGGGAUAACUAAUCGAAAGAUUAGCUAAUACCGCAUAUUCUCUGAGGAGGAAAGCAGGGGACCUUCGGGCCUUGCGUUAUUCGAGCGGCCGAUAUCUGAUUAGCUAGUUGGUGGGGUAAAGGCCUACCAAGGCGACGAUCAGUAGCGGGUCUGAGAGGAUGAUCCGCCACACUGGGACUGAGACACGGCCCAGACUCCUACGGGAGGCAGCAGUGGGGAAUUUUGGACAAUGGGCGCAAGCCUGAUCCAGCCAUGCCGCGUGUCUGAAGAAGGCCUUCGGGUUGUAAAGGACUUUUGUCAGGGAAGAAAAGGCUGUUGCUAAUAUCGACAGCUGAUGACGGUACCUGAAGAAUAAGCACCGGCUAACUACGUG